UGGUUCUCCGCGAAAUCUAUUUAGGUAGAGCGUCGCACGAAUACCUUGGGGGGUAGAGCACUGAAUGGGUAAUGGGGACUCACCGUCUUACUGAUCCUAAUCAAACUCCGAAUACCCAAGAGUAAUAUGCGGCAGACACACUGCGGAUGCUAACGUCCGUAGUGGAGAGGGAAACAACCCUGACCCUCAGCUAAGGCCCCUAAUUCAUGGCUAAGUGGGAAAGCAGGUGGGACGACCAAAACAACCAGGAAGUUGGCUUAGAAGCAGCCAUCUUUUAAAGAUAGCGUAACAGCUCACUGGUCUAAUUUAAGUUAUCCUGCGGCGAAGAUGUACCGGGGCUCAAGCCAUGAGCCGAAGCUAGGGAUGCAAUUUAUUGCAUGGUAGCGGAGCGUUCUGUGAUAUAGAACGCUGCGUCUUUAGUAUCUUAGGAUAUUGUGGACGCAAUGUUCUGACUGUGAAGCCGGCGCGUAAGCGAUCCGGUGGAGUGAUCAGAAGUGAGAAUGUUGACAUGAGUAGCGACAAACAGGGUGAGAGACCCUGUCGCCGAAAGUCCAAGGGUUCCUGCUUAAAGCUAAUCUGAGCAGGGUAAGCCGACCCCUAAGGCGAGGCCGAAAGGCGUAGUCGAUGGGAACCAGUUUAAUAUUACUGGGCCAGGAGAUGGUGACGGAUCGAAAGCGUAGUGACUCCUUAUCGGAUUGAAGUUGCUGCCGGACGGUUCCUGGAAAUAGCCCUCCAUUAGAUCGUACCCUAAACCAACACAGGUGGACUGGUAGAGAAUACCAAGGCGCUUGAGAGAACUACAUUGAAGGAACUCGGCAAAAUGCCUCCGUAAGUUCGCGAGAAGGAGGCCCCAUCAGAAGGCAACUUUUGGUGGGGGGCACAGACCAGGGGGUGGCGACUGUUUACUAAAAACACAGGGCUCUGCGAAGUCGUAAGACGACGUAUAGGGUCUGACGCCUGCCCGGUGCUGGAAGGUUAAGAGGAGGUGUGCAAGCACUGAAUUGAAGCCCCAGUAAACGGCGGCCGUAACUAUAACGGUCCUAAGGUAGCGAAAUUCCUUGUCGGGUAAGUUCCGACCUGCACGAAUGGCGUAACGACUUCCCCGCUGUCUCCAACAUAGACUCAGUGAAAUUGAAUUGCCUGUCAAGAUGCAGGCUUCCCGCGGUUAGACGGAAAGACCCCGUGCACCUUUACUACAACUUUACACUGAUAACAGGCACAAUAUGUGCAGAAUAGGUGGUAGGCUUUGAAGCAGGGACGCCAGUCCUUGUGGAGCCUCCUUUGAGAUACCACCCUUAUUUUUCUUGUUAUCUAACUGCGGUCCGUUAUCCGGAUCCAGGACCCUGUAUGGUGGGUAGUUUGACUGGGGCGGUCGCCUCCUAAAGCGUAACGGAGGCGCGCGAAGGUUGGCUCAGAGCGGUCGGAAAUCGCUCGUUGAGUGCAAUGGCAGAAGCCAGCCUGACUGCGAGACUGACAAGUCGAGCAGAGUCGAAAGACGGCCAUAGUGAUCCGGUGGUCCCGAGUGGAAGGGCCAUCGCUCAACGGAUAAAAGGUACGCCGGGGAUAACAGGCUGAUACUGCCCAAGAGUCCAUAUCGACGGCAGUGUUUGGCACCUCGAUGUCGGCUCAUCUCAUCCUGGGGCUGGAGCAGGUCCCAAGGGUACGGCUGUUCGCCGUUUAAAGAGGUACGUGAGCUGGGUUUAGAACGUCGUGAGACAGUUCGGUCCCUAUCUGCCGUGGGUGUAGGAUACUUGAGAGGAGUUGCCCCUAGUACGAGAGGACCGGGGUGAACGAUCCACUGGUGGAUCUGUUGUUGCGCCAGCAGCAGUGCAGAGUAGCUAUGAUCGGACAGGAUAACCGCUGAAGGCAUCUAAGCGGGAAGCCCCCCCAGAAACAAGGUCUCCCUUGA
rnacentral:rRNA from 1 species